AGUUUUGGUAGUCGUUGGGACUCGGUAGAAACAUAUAGUGUCUAGUUCAAUGCGUAACUAUACCCGUAUAUGUUUCUGCUGAGCCCCUGACUCCAUU
rnacentral:pre_miRNA from 16 species